UACGUAGGGGGCAAGCGUUGUCCGGAUUUAUUGGGCGUAAAGAGCGUGUAGGCGGCCAGGUAGGUCGGUUGUGAAAACUGGAGGCUCAACCUCCAGACGUCGACCGAAACCAUCUGGCUAGAGUCCGGAAGAGGAGAGUGGAAUUCCUGGUGUAGCGGUGAAUGCGCAGAUAUCAGGAAGAACACCCGUGGCGAAAGCGGCUCUCUGGGACGGUACUGACGCUGAGACGCGAAAGCGUGGGGAGCGAACAGG
rnacentral:rRNA from 1 species